rnacentral:rRNA from 1 species
UACGUAGGGAGCAAGCGUUGUCCGGAAUUACUGGGCGUAAAGGGCGCGUAGGUGGGCGCUUAAGUCAGGUGUGAAAACUCCGGGCUCAACCUGGAGACUGCACUUGAAACUGGGUGUCUUGAGGGCAGGAGAGGAAAGUGGAAUUCCUAGUGUAGCGGUGAAAUGCGUAGAUAUAUGGAAGAACACCAGUGGCGAAGGCGGCCGCCUGGCCUGUUACUGACGCUGAGGCACGAAAGCGUGGGGAGCAAAUAGG